rnacentral:rRNA from 1 species
UACGAAGGGGGGCUAGCGUUGUUCGGAAUUACUGGGCGUAAAGGGCGCGCAGGCGGCUCUUCAAGUCAGAUGUGAAAGCCCCCGGCUCAACUGGGGAGGGUCACGCGAUACUGAUCGACUCGAAGGCAGGAGAGGGUAGUGGAAUUCCCGGUGUAGUGGUGAAAUGGACGUAGAUAUCGAGAGGAACACCGGUGGCGAAGGCGGGUCUCUGGGCCGAUACUGACGCUGAGGAGCGAAAGCGUGGGGAGCGAACAGG